rnacentral:rRNA from 1 species
CCUACGGGAGGCAGCAGUGGGGAAUAUUGGACAAUGGGGGCAACCCUGAUCCAGCCAUGCCGCGUGUGUGAAGAAGGCCCUCGGGUUGUAAAGCACUUUCAGCGAGGAAGAACGCCUAGCGGUUAAUACCCGCUAGGAAAGACAUCACUCGCAGAAGAAGCACCGGCUAACUCCGUGCCAGCAGCCGCGGUAAUACGGAGGGUGCAAGCGUUAAUCGGAAUUACUGGGCGUAAAGCGCGCGUAGGUGGCUUGAUAAGCCGGUUGUGAAAGCCCCGGGCUCAACCUGGGAACGGCAUCCGGAACUGUCAAGCUAGAGUGCAGGAGAGGAAGGUAGAAUUCCCGGUGUAGCGGUGAAAUGCGUAGAGAUCGGGAGGAAUACCAGUGGCGAAGGCGGCCUUCUGGACUGACACUGACACUGAGGUGCGAAAGCGUGGGUAGCAAACAGGAUUAGAUACCCUGGUAGUCCACGCCGUAAACGAUGUCGACCAGCCGUUGGGUGCCUAGCGCACUUUGUGGCGAAGUUAACGCGAUAAGUCGACCGCCUGGGGAGUACGGCCGCAAGGUUAAAACUCAAAUGAAUUGCCGGA